GGUCAGCCCAUCGCAGUGGACCCACCGUCCCAUUGGCAAGCGAUGCCGCACAAUGCGCAGCCAUGUUCGCUUCACGGGGAACCCAGUCCCAUUUGCACUCCUCAAAACCAGUUGCUAGCUUUCGAAUGCGUAUCAGUAUUGGUUCAGUGAAUUGGCCAGGGAGAUACCAUGGAGAAGAGCAGAUGCUUCCGCUUCCGCAACUGAUCCACAGGUGGCUUUAGUGGCAGAUCCACUAAUACACAUCCCAGUUGAGUCUCUCACCACUACUCCCAACCCUGCCAUAGAAGGUGGUCUCCAGGCAGCAUCACAAUUUAUUUUAACAACAUCAUGAGGAGGGGUUACCCAAUGCGUCUGGGUACGCACUUCCCGAUUAGUAGCUGCAAACGGGAUUGGCACUCCCAUCUCUAGAUUGGGUAUCAUCAUUGCUGCAUGGAAAUCUGAAGCCAGGGAUACCGCAGAGGAGAUGGCCAAGUGUGGUGAUAAGGGCUUGGAUUGAUACACAAACAGGCAUCUGGCCUUCCAUAUGGCCCAGCAUAUGAAACUCAUCAAAGUAAGUACUCUGUUCCGAUUGCAAUCAUUGUGAUGUGUUCUUGCUGUCUUUAGGAACCAAACAUCCAAAGUUGUCAAUUUUUGUUUAUCCACACGUAAUCCUAGAGGAGAGCCAAACCAAACCCCCUCCACCCAUGGGCAAAGGAACAUGAAAGAAAAGAAAAGAGUUGAACAUGUAAGAACAGAAAAACAAGAAUUAGCCAAUGCAUGACUUGCUUGUCAGAGGUCUUAAUCAUCAUGACCACAAAAGGAAGCUUGCUUCGAUGAAUCCUGGUACAUACAUGACUAGAACUCCAGUUAAUUCUUUGGUGUAGUUCAGUUUUGGUGGUGUUAAGUUAUCUUAGGUCAUGAUAUUUAUAAGAGCAAGUCCACCCGUUGAGCUUGACAUGUCAAGACUAUUCACUGCUUUUUUGCCUUGUAUUUCC